UUCCUGUGCUCUAAGACAUAAAUUUGAAACUAAUUAUUAAUAUACUGAAAAGUAAAUGCCUUAUUAAUAUACUUUUAGGUCUUCUGCUAUUAUCAUUAUUAUGCCCCAUUUUCCUUUUCACUCCCCAAUAUAGCAAUGCUAUGUAUCUAUUGCAGGUUGUCUUUGUGGAGUUGUGCUGUAGUCGUGUUGAGAUUCUCGCGCUUUCAAAACAUCGAGGUUGGCCUGUAUCUGUAUUUUUUUUCUCUCUGUAGAAUUAAUUUAGUUUAGUGUUCUUGAUUAGUCAGAAAUAUAUCAUGAAAUGAUAACUUUAGAACCACGUAGUCUGCUUUUGCUUGGUUUCUUGAAGAUGUACAUGUAUAGGACCCAAGCUUUAUCUGAAGGUGAAAGAAGUCAGAGACCCUUUACUCUCUAAUGAAUUUAAUGAUUGAUUUGAGAAGAUCAUUAUCACAAUGAAUUCUUGUAAACUUUGUUUCACGUCCUAUAAGCCAGGUGAUACUGAAAUUGAUACUCCGUGAGAUCGAAAGCUAGACUUGAAUAGAAAGCAUCUUGUUUUCUUGUUGCUCAAUGGACUUUGAGAAUUAACCUAACCACAAGAGGUCAUAUUUCACUUUCAGAACAUCAAAUAAUGAUCUCGACUUGUUAUGAUUUUUACCUUGGACCAAAAAUCAUAUGUUUGUUCUUGCAUCAAUUUUGGGUACUUUUAGUGCUUAGUAAUAUUUCCUAAAAAAUGUGAAAUGGAGAAGUUUUUAGUGCUUAGUAACUUGAUAGGUUUUGUCCAUUUUACCAAUCACUUUGAUAUGCAUUUUAAGUGUUUAUCAUGAUGCUUUACAUUGUGAUUCUUGGUUGGCUCUUUGUAUGAUUUUGUGGCAGGUUUGUGGUGGAUUAAAUGAGUCGUACGUUGAGCUGAAGAGGCUUGUGAAUUCACAAGAAAAGUUGUACCAGAUGGCUAGCUAGUUGCAUAUUUAAUAUGUUUAGUUUUUUUGUAAGGCAUAAUAGCAUAGAUAGAGCAGUUGUUGAAUUUUGACUAUAUUCAAAUCUUGUAUGAAUUCUUUUUUAUGAUAAUAAUAUAAAAUUAAAUAUUUUGGAUGAUAU
rnacentral:lncRNA from 1 species